rnacentral:rRNA from 1 species
UCAAGCUACACAGGGCACACGGUGGAUGCCUUGGCGCCUGGAGCCGAUGAAGGGCGUGGCACGGCUGCGAAAAGCCCCGGGGAGCCGCCAAGCAGGCUGAUCCGGGGAUUCCCGAAUGGGGCAACCCAGUCCGGCAAAACCGGACUACUCUGGCUAUGCCAGAGAGGUAAGCGGGGGAACUGAAACAUCUUACUACCCCGAGGAAAAGAGAUUAUUCCCUGAGUAGUGGCGAGCGAAAGGGGAAAAGCCUAAACCCUGUCACCUUAGUGGCCUGGGGGCCUAUGCUGACGGGGUGUUGCGAGGCCGGACAUGCUCCUGCCCUAGAGGGAGCGCGGAGUUACAAAACUUCUUACUAGUCGAAGGCUCUGGAAAGGGCCGCCAUAGAGGGUGACAGACCCGUAGGCGAAAGAAGAAGGCUCCGGACCGGUUCUCAAGUACCACGAGGGCCUAGGAACCUUGUGGGAAGCUGGGGAGACCACUCUCCAAGGCUAAAUACUCCAGGCGACCGAUAGUGAACUAGUACCGUGAGGGAAAGGUGAAAAACACCCCGGGAGGGGAGUGAAAUAGAUCUGAAACCGUGUGCCCACAAGCGGUCAGAGGGCCGGGUAACCGGCCUGAUGGCGUGCCUAUUGAAGAAUGAGCAGGCGGGUUAAUCGGCGUGGCGAGGUUAAGCCUGGCGAACAGGGGGAGCCGUAGCGAAAGCGAGUCCAAAUAGGGCGUCAAGUCGCGUCGAUCAGACCCGAAACCGGGUGAGCUACUCCUGGUCAGGGUGAAGGUCAGCGAAAGCUGACUGGAGGCCCGAACCCGUGUGAAGUGCAAAUCGCUGGGAUGAGCUGGGAGUAGUGGUGAUAUACCUACCGAACCCGGAGAUAGCUGGUUCUCCCCGAAGUGUAUUGAGGUACAGCCUCAGAGGAAGACUGACGGAGGUAGGGCUCUGAAUGGGUAAGGGGGCUAACCACUUACCGAACCCAAUCAAACCGCAAAUGCCGCCAGUUAAUCCCUGGGAGUGAGUCGAUGGGGGAUAAGCUUCAUUGACGUGAGGGGAACAACCCAGACCGCCCGCUAAGGUCCCUAAGUGCAGGCCAAGUGGAAAGGAAGUCGUUUCGCUUAAACAGCCAGGAGGUUGGCUUAGAAGCAGCCAUCCUUUGAAGAGUGCGUAACAGCUCACUGGUCGAGAGAGACGGCGCCGACAAUUUAUAGGGACUCCAGCCUGCCACCGAAGCGACGGCUCUCACGGUGCCUUAGGGCGCCGCGAGGGGGUAGGGGAGCGUUCCCUCCAGCUGUGAAGGUGUGACCGUGAGGUCCACUGGAGCGGAGGGAAGAGCGAAUGCCUGCGUGAGUAGCGUUUAGACAUGUGAAAACCAUGUCCGCCGCAAGCCGAAGGUUUCCUACGCAACGUUCUUCGUCGUAGGGUAAGUCGGGCCUAAGCUGAGGGCUAACGCCGUAAGCGAUGGACAGCCGGUUAGUAUUCCGGCACCGCUCUGCAUGCGUUAUCAACGCCGGGGGGACCCAGAGAGGUAAGCAAGGCGCCCCCAUUGGACAUGGGGCGUCCCCCUUCUUGUGCCAGGCUGCGAUUGGCAAAUCCGUCGUGGCCGUUAUGAGCGAAGGGAGGGGGGAAGUUUCGGGGCGACCCGGGGCAACCUUGUUGAUCCUGGACUGGCAAGAAAAUCCUCGGCGUGAGUGUGCAGUGCGCCCGUACCGUAAACCGACACAGGUCGGCGGGGAUCAACGUCCCCAGGCGGUCGAGAGAACCCUCGGGAAGGAACUAGGCAAACGAGCCUCGUAACUUCGGGAUAAGAGGCGCCCUCCGGGGUGCAAGCUCUGGAGGGCCGCAGCGAAGCAGCUCGGGCGACUGUUUAACAAAAACACAGGUCUGUGCCAAAGCGUAAGCUGAGGUAUACGGGCCGACACCUGCCCAGUGCCGGAAGGUUAAGGGGAGGAGUUCGGGGGUAACCCCAAAGCUCUGAUCUGAAGCCCCGGUGAACGGCGGCCGUAACUCUAACGGUCCUAAGGUAGCGUAGCCCCUUGUCGGGUAAGUUCCGACCCGCAUGAAAGGUGGAACGACCUGAGCGCUGUCUCCCCAGGGGACUCGGCGAAAUCGAAGUAUCCGUGAAGAUGCGGAUUACCCGCAGCAGGACAAAAAGACCCCGUGAAGCUUUACUGUAUCUUGGCACUGCACCGGGGUGAGGGAUGCGUAGUAUAGGUGGGAGGCUUUGAAGGGGCGGUCUCGGCCGUCCUGGAGCCAACAGUGAAAUACCACUCUUCUUUUACUCUAGUGCUCACCGGACCUGACACAGGUCUGGGACAGUGCUAGGGGGGCAGUUUGACUGGGGCGGUCGCCUCCCAAAAAGUAACGGAGGCGUCCCAAGGUCCCCUCAGGGUGGAUGGUAACCACCCGUGGAGUAUAUGGGCAUAAGGGGGCUUGACUGUGAGGCCUACAAGCCGAGCAGGGGGGAAACCCGGGCCAAGUGAUCCUACGGUACCGCGUGGGCGGGCCGUGGCUUAUCGGAUAAAAGCUACUCCGGGGAUAACAGGCUGAUCGAGCCCAAGAGUUCAUAUCGACGGCUCGGUUUGGCACCUCGAUGUCGGCUCGUCGCAUCCUGGGGCUGCAGGAGGUCCCAAGGGUCCGGCUGUUCGCCGGUUAAAGCGGUACGCGAGCUGGGUU